GGGGGCGUCACGGUUUCGACGUGUCUGGUGAACGUGGAGUAGCGUGCCGAGGUCUCUCGACCCUCGUUAAUCUUCGGGAAACUUUUUAACUGCCAACAACAACCUGGCAUUGGCCGCGUAAGCUUCUUACCGGUCCGGUUCUUGGAUUGCCUGCCCGAGGCGGUCCCUGAAGCGUCGCUAAUUCGGGCUGGGCCUCCGGUUUCGUCACCGCAUCGGAGAUCGAGAUACAAGGUGACUGGUUGUGGUGCGGUCGGUCGCUGACCGCCCACGACGAGACUAACAGCGUCCUACGCACGUAGAGACUCUGCAGGACCCAAAUGCGGACGCGGGUUCGACUCCCGCCGCCUCCACUC
rnacentral:tmRNA from 1 species